AUGUUAAAGAAAGCAGACAGCCGUUCCAGAUUCGCAAGGCGGGAGGGCUGGAAGAAAGAAAAAAUCCUAAAAAAACAAGAACAACAAAAAAAAGAAAGUGCUAAUAUCCAGCUUCAAAACAAUUUCACGAAAACAAGUUCAAACCACAAACAACUUUGUCCAAAACAAGUUUUCAAAAACAUGGAUUUGAAAUCACAAGUCAGUACACAACACAGGGAAGAAACAAAACUACUAUGGGGCAUUUGGAAGAAAACAUAAAAGGACAGAUUUAUGAUACUAGGAAAGGGGAGGAUUUCUUUAAUAAGGUAUAAAACGCACCAAGCAGAAAAGAAUAGUAGAAUAACUGUCUACAUUAAAAUCUUCUCUAUCCCAAAAGACACCAGAUGCAAAAUAUAAAGACAAGCCCUAGGGGCACCUGGGUGGCUCAGUUGGUUAACUGUCUGCCUUUGGCUUGGGUCAUGACCCUGGGGUCCUGGGAUCAAGCCCCAUAUCAGACUGCUUGGUUGGUGGGGAGCUUGCUUCUCCCUCUCCCUCUGCCUGCUGCUCCCCCUGCUUGUCCUCUCUCUCUUGCUAUCUUUCUCCAUGUCAAAUAAAUAAAAUCUUAAAAAAAAAAAAGACAAGCCAUAUCUGUGACUCAUACAACCAAGAAAAAAAAGUAGAAUAUCUUAUUAUGUCUUUAAAAAAAAAAGAAGCCCAAUAGAAAAAUGGGUAAAGGACAUGAACAGGCAAUUCUGAAAGGUCUAACAACCAUAACAAAUCAAACCAACCUCCCUUGUGACCAGAUUGUGUGGAAAUUACAGUCAUGAGAUCCCACUGAGAGCCAUGGGAUGGACAAAAAUUAAGAUCUGAUAACCCAAAUGUGGAUGCAGGUGUAAGAAAAUGGAAACUACUUCACUGGUAAGAGUGUAAACUGGUACAUCCAUCUAGGAAAAAAUAUGUGAAAAUGUGUAAAGCCUUCUAAAGAAGAUGCAUAUGCCAGUGGUAGAGAUAGUCUCCUUCAUGUUCAGAAAUGACUGAUUCUGUAUUCAUUCUACAUAACAGGGGAUAAGUAGAAUCAAUGUAAUCACCCCUGUGUGGGAAAGCUAUUUCAGUCAUCCAAUGAAAUACUAUAAAGCAGUUAAAAACGAUGAAAAAAAUCUACAUGUAUCAACAUUGCUGAAUCACAAAAAUCUAACAUAGAGUGAAAAAAGCAGGUUACAAAAGGCUAGUAUACUCUGAUAGCAUUUACAUACAUUUUUAAAACAAAAAAGUAUACAAUAAAAAUAUAAAAUCAUGCUUAUAUGUUUUAAACUUUAAUAUUUUAUUUAUUUAUUUGUCAGAGACAGAGAGAUCACAUAAGCAGGGGAAGCAGCAGACUGAGGGAGAAGCAGCCUCCCUGCUGAGCAAGGAGUCUCAUGCAGGGCUCAACCCCAGGACACUGGGAUCAUGAC
rnacentral:lncRNA from 1 species